rnacentral:rRNA from 1 species
AGCGAACGCUGGCGGCAGGCUUAACACAUGCAAGUCGAACGCCCGUAGCAAUACGGGAGUGGCAGACGGGUGAGUAACGCGUGGGAACAUGCCCUUUGGUUCGGAAUAACUCAGGGAAACUUGAGCUAAUACCGGAUAAGCCCGAGAGGGGAAAGAUUUAUCGCCGAAGGAUUGGCCCGCGUCCGAUUAGCUAGUUGGUGAGGUAAUGGCUCACCAAGGCGACGAUCGGUAGCUGGUCUGAGAGGAUGAUCAGCCGCACUGGGACUGAGACACGGCCCAGACUCCUACGGGAGGCAGCAGUGGGGAAUAUUGGACAAUGGGGGCAACCCUGAUCCAGCCAUGCCGCGUGAGUGAUGAAGGCCUAGGGUUGUAAAGCUCUUUCGGCGGGGACGAUAAUGACGGUACCCGCAGAAGAAGCCCCGGCUAACUUCGUGCCAGCCGCCGCAGUAA